rnacentral:lncRNA from 1 species
UUUUUCUCCCAUUUUUUCAGGUUUUCAGCAGUGCACUCAGCUCUUGUCUUUGGUACUUCUACCCCUUCCUCAUUCUUCUUUGUAGUUGCCAAGUGGCCAUCAGUGACGAUGUCCCGGAGUUCAUAGUCCUCUUCAAUAAUAUGAUCUCUCAUCCUGUUUUUCCACCAACAAUAGUAUUGUCCAUUAAAAGUGGAGGUCUGGCAGUAGAAUACCCUUUCCAGUUCCCGGUGGUCCACUCAUGUUGAUCUUUUCCUAAGGUGUUAGCCUCUUCAAGGACAACCUGCUCUGAUACCUAUUGAUUUUCUUUACAUCAAUACCACACAAUAGGAGGGGUGAUUUGUGUAGUACCCAAUUUUUCGAUCUAGGAGAACUUGGUCCUUCUAGGUAUUCCAACUACUACUGUUGUGCAAUUAAAAGUACAGAAAAUAAAGAACACGGAGAUUU